rnacentral:rRNA from 1 species
AGCUAAUAGAUACCCAGGUAGUCCCAGCUGUAAACGAUGCAGACUCGGUGAUGAGUUGGCUACAUGCCAUCUCAGUGCCGCAGGGAAGCCGUUAAGUUUGCCGCCUGGGGAGUACGGUCGCAAGACUGAAACUUAAAGGAAUUGGCGGGGAGGCACCACAAAGGGUGGAAGCCUGCGGUUCAAUUGGUAGGUCAACGCCGGAAACGUACUUACCGGGGGUCGGACAGCAGUGUGAAGGUCAAGCUGAAGACUUUACCUAGACAAGCUGAGAGGAGGUGCAUGGCCGUCGCCAGCUCGUGCCGUGAGGUGUCCU